rnacentral:rRNA from 1 species
UACGAAGGGUGCUAGCGUUGUUCGGAAUUACUGGGCGUAAAGCGCGCGCAGGCGGCUAUCCAAGUCAGUGGUGAAAGCCCGGAGCUAAACUCCAGAACUGCCUUUGAUACUGGCGAUCUUGAGUCCGGGAGAGGUGAGUGGAACUCCGAGUGUAGAGGUGAAAUUCGUAGAUAUUCGGAAGAACACCAGUGGCGAAGGCGGCUCACUGGCCCGGUACUGACGCUGAUGUGCGAAAGCGUGGGGAGCAAACAGG